rnacentral:rRNA from 2 species
AGGAUGAACGCUGGCGGCGUGCCUAAUACAUGCAAGUCGAACGAGUUCUGAUUAUUGAAAGGUGCUUGCAUCUUGAUUUAAUUUUGAACGAGUGGCGGACGGGUGAGUAACACGUGGGUAACCUGCCCUUAAGUGGGGGAUAACAUUUGGAAACAGAUGCUAAUACCGCAUAAAUCCAAGAACCGCAUGGUUCUUGGCUGAAAGAUGGCGUAAGCUAUCGCUUUUGGAUGGACCCGCGGCGUAUUAGCUAGUUGGUGAGGUAACGGCUCACCAAGGCAAUGAUACGUAGCCGAACUGAGAGGUUGAUCGGCCACAUUGGGACUGAGACACGGCCCAAACUCCUACGGGAGGCAGCAGUAGGGAAUCUUCCACAAUGGACGCAAGUCUGAUGGAGCAACGCCGCGUGAGUGAAGAAGGCUUUCGGGUCGUAAAACUCUGUUGUUGGAGAAGAAUGGUCGGCAGAGUAACUGUUGUCGGCGUGACGGUAUCCAACCAGAAAGCCACGGCUAACUACGUGCCAGCAGCCGCGGUAAUACGUAGGUGGCAAGCGUUAUCCGGAUUUAUUGGGCGUAAAGCGAGCGCAGGCGGUUUUUUAAGUCUGAUGUGAAAGCCCUCGGCUUAACCGAGGAAGUGCAUCGGAAACUGGGAAACUUGAGUGCAGAAGAGGACAGUGGAACUCCAUGUGUAGCGGUGAAAUGCGUAGAUAUAUGGAAGAACACCAGUGGCGAAGGCGGCUGUCUGGUCUGUAACUGACGCUGAGGCUCGAAAGCAUGGGUAGCGAACAGGAUUAGAUACCCUGGUAGUCCAUGCCGUAAACGAUGAAUGCUAGGUGUUGGAGGGUUUCCGCCCUUCAGUGCCGCAGCUAACGCAUUAAGCAUUCCGCCUGGGGAGUACGACCGCAAGGUUGAAACUCAAAGGAAUUGACGGGGGCCCGCACAAGCGGUGGAGCAUGUGGUUUAAUUCGAAGCAACGCGAAGAACCUUACCAGGUCUUGACAUCUUUUGAUCACCUGAGAGAUCAGGUUUCCCCUUCGGGGGCAAAAUGACAGGUGGUGCAUGGUUGUCGUCAGCUCGUGUCGUGAGAUGUUGGGUUAAGUCCCGCAACGAGCGCAACCCUUAUGACUAGUUGCCAGCAUUUAGUUGGGCACUCUAGUAAGACUGCCGGUGACAAACCGGAGGAAGGUGGGGAUGACGUCAAAUCAUCAUGCCCCUUAUGACCUGGGCUACACACGUGCUACAAUGGAUGGUACAACGAGUUGCGAGACCGCGAGGUCAAGCUAAUCUCUUAAAGCCAUUCUCAGUUCGGACUGUAGGCUGCAACUCGCCUACACGAAGUCGGAAUCGCUAGUAAUCGCGGAUCAGCACGCCGCGGUGAAUACGUUCCCGGGCCUUGUACACACCGCCCGUCACACCAUGAGAGUUUGUAACACCCGAAGCCGGUGGCGUAACCCUUUUAGGGAGCGAGCCGUCUAAGGUGGGACAAAUGAUUAGGGUGAAGUCGUAAC